rnacentral:rRNA from 1 species
UACAGAGGUCUCAAGCGUUGUUCGGAUUCAUUGGGCGUAAAGGGCUCGUAGGCGGCCAACUAAGUCAGACGUGAAAUCCCUCGGCUUAACCGGGGAACUGCAUCUGAUACUGGAUGGCUUGAGUUCGGGAGAGGGAUGCGGAAUUCCAGGUGUAGCGGUGAAAAUGCGUAGAUAUCUGGAGGAACACCGGUGGCGAAGGCGGCAUCCUGGACCGACACUGACGCUGAGGGAGCGAAAAGCCCAGGGGGAGCAAAACGGGG